UACAGGGGGGGCAAGCGUUGUUCGGAAUUACUGGGCGUAAAGGGUUCGUAGGUGGCCACUUAAGUCAGACGUGAAAUCCCUCAGCUUAACUGGGGAACUGCGUCUGAGACUGGCGGGCUUGAGUGCAGGAGAGGAACGCGGAAUUCCAGGUGUAGCGGUGAAAUGCGUAGAUAUCUGGAGGAACACCGGUGGCGAAGGCGGCGUUCUGGACUGUUACUGACACUGAGGAACGAAAGCCAGGGGAGCAAACGGG
rnacentral:rRNA from 1 species